rnacentral:rRNA from 1 species
GGGGAAUAUUGCGCAAUGGGGGAAACCCUGACGCAGCAACGCCGCGUGAGUGAGGAAGGCUUUCGGGUCGUAAAGCUCUGUCAGAUGGGAAGAAAGUGCAUUGGUCUAAUAGGCCAGUGUAUUGACGGUACCU